rnacentral:rRNA from 1 species
AUUGAACGCUGGCGGCAUGCCUUACACAUGCAAGUCGAACGGUAACAGGUCUUCGGAUGCUGACGAGUGGCGAACGGGUGAGUAAUACAUCGGAACGUGCCCGAUCGUGGGGGAUAACGGAGCGAAAGCUUUGCUAAUACCGCAUAGGAUCUACGGAUGAAAGCAGGGGACCGCAAGGCCUUGCGCGAACGGAGCGGCCGAUGGCAGAUUAGGUAGUUGGUGGGAUAAAAGCUUACCAAGCCGACGAUCUGUAGCUGGUCUGAGAGGACGACCAGCCACACUGGGACUGAGACACGGCCCAGACUCCUACGGGAGGCAGCAGUGGGGAAUUUUGGACAAUGGGCGCAAGCCUGAUCCAGCCAUGCCGCGUGCAGGAUGAAGGCCUUCGGGUUGUAAACUGCUUUUGUACGGAUCGAAAAGACUCUUUCUAAUAAAGAGGGUCCAUGACGGUACCGUAAGAAUAAGUACCGGCUAACUACGUGCCAGCAGCCGCCGUAAUAC